UUCUUUCAGCAAGUAAGGCAGGAGAUGGAUUAUUUGAGGGUAACUCCUGACAAGGAUUCAGGUGUCACACCCAGCUGGGGGCAGCUGAGCCUAAUCAGGUGAUGCAAAGAGAAGCUGGGUUAGGCCUAGAGAAGCCAGAGUGUUGGGAUCUUGCUGACUAUGCUCCAGGGGUGGGAGCUUUGUUUGUGUGUUUGAUUUAGCUCUAGAAAUGGAAUGCAACUAGCAGAAACUUGCCAAGUUUGUGUUAUGCGGGUAAAAGAAAACUUCUGAAGCAAGCCCCAGUAACAGGCUUUUGUCUUUACCCUGGAGCCUCCUAUGAUCUCUCUCUAGACUCCUCCCUGGCCUUGCAUGCUGCCUUUCUGCCAACAAAGAAUUGGAAAACCUCUUAUUCAAACACCACACUAUAAAUUCCAGCUGCCUAAAAUGGUGUCAUUCUUAUUCAGCUGCACCAGCGAGAUGUUUUGUAGUUGGAAUUCCGCAUUCACUUCCAUCUGUCAGACUGAACGGGCUGCUGAAGUGUAUGCUAGAGCUGUGAUGGACACCUGCGGAAAGGACAUCCAUGUGAUCCUGUCAGUAGAGAUCAUAGCUGAUGCACAGCUGUGAAAGCUUGACGAUUCUACCCAGCUAGCAAAUUCCAUUUGUAUGGCCAUUAACCUGGAAGACAGCUGGAUCCCUGUGAAAGCCAAAUGGAUUUGUGAUGAACGGAGAUUUUCGAAGAGUUCAAGGAAUGUUGUACAGAAUACACAGUAGCUUAUCUGCAGGAUUUACCCUGGGCUGCUACUAAUCAUCUACACUGGGUAUUAAACCAAUGGAUUCUGA